rnacentral:rRNA from 1 species
UACGGAGGGUGCGAGCGUUGUUCGGAUUCAUUGGGCGUAAAGGGUGCGUAGGCGGCGCGGUAAGUCGGGUGUGAAAUCUCGGGGCUUAACUCCGAAACUGCAUUCGAUACUGCCGUGCUUGAGGACUGGAGAGGAGACUGGAAUUUACGGUGUAGCGGUGAAAUGCGUAGAUAUCGGGAGGAACACCUGUGGCGAAAGCGGCGCACUGGACCACAACUGACGCUGAGGCGCGAAAGCUAGGGGAGCAAACAGG